rnacentral:lncRNA from 1 species
AAGUGUUUUAGCUGCAGUAAAAAAAUAAAAUACUCGAAUUUUUUUUUUAUUUCAUUUAAUGUAACAUAGAUAUAUAAACAUGUAUAAGUUUGUAUAACAUUUACUUAUUGCCUUUUCAAUAAAAAUAAAGGGAGGUGUAGUAUGAUUGCCAGGGAGACAACUAACUAGAAACCAAAUGCCAUAGAAGUUUACAACUAUAGCUAUAUAGGUCACUGUAUGGCCUUCAACAAGAAGCAAAACCUGUUCCUCUUAGCUAUAAAAGGCCCUGAUAUGACAAUCUUAAAACAAUUAAUACAGACGAGAAAAAUACCAAAACAAUGAACAAAAAACAAAUAUGAUAUACUGUAACAUAUGAAAACCACUAAAUUACAAGGUCCUGACUUGGCACAGACAGAGUGAUAAACUUUGAGGGUAUUUUUCAAGUAAAUAAUUCCAACAAACAACAUAUAUAUAGGUCCGACACCCAUUGUAGCAAAUGAUAAAAAGUUAACACUGGUAUUUUUUUUAAAGCUAUGAAACUUUACACUAAGUAAAACAGGAAUGCACACAUUGUCUUAAGCAUUUACUCACUCUUAAUUUAAUAUUGAAAAAAAGGAAGUAAUUGUCUUGAAACAUACAAAAAGCGCGAUCAUCUUAUACAUCUUAUCAAUGCUGGUGGUGUUACCAAAUAUAAAGUCAUUUUGAUCAGUAGUAUUGUAGAAAUGUGUGAUGACAAUUUUACUGUGCAUUUACUAUAGUGAAAAAUUCAAAAUAUCAGCAAACAGGAAGUACUUAGUAGGUAUCUCUCAGAUAUGAGAAGUGGUUACAGAUUAUAACUCAUCACUGUCAAGCUGCUAGCCAAACAUGAAAUCAUUCACCUAAGUGGUUUCGGAUGAAAUUAUUUGUUGGAAAAAUAGACAAAGUGACUGUAAUAUAACCCCCAUUUCUAGCAUGGGGGUUUAGUUUAUUCAAUAACAUUACUAUUCCAAUAAGAAGUUAUUUUUUUUUGGAAAGUUAAAUCCCUUUAUCCCAUUUAACUUGGUAACAAUUGUCUUACAAUUUCUUGGGCUUAUAGAGUUAAGAAUAUGUUGUAAAGGCCAUAUAGUCAAUUCAAUGUGCUUAUUUUUGGAUGGAAUUUUUUCAAUGCUCUAUUUUUAUUCAUCUACAAUAUGUUGUAUAAAAAUCUAGUAAAAUAUUAGUUCUCUAAGAAAGAGUCACAAAACUGACUACAGAGUGAGAUCAAGAGCAAGACAACAAGUUAAAAUGAACAUACUUCUACAAAUAAAUCCUGAUAAAUCAUAUAUAUAUAGGAAAAUUAUCUUUAAUUAAUUCUUUGUAAGUCAAAAGUAAUGUCAUGUCAAUUCUCAGAUAUGUAUAACUCAAACACCUGCAAGUUACCUGUCCAUUUAAACUUUUGUAAGUCCUAUUGUCCCAUCUAACAAAUACAACAGCUAUUGUUCUCUUUAGUUUAUUCAAUGGACUUUAAAUUUCUUGCAAGAGAAAUCUAUCACUCACUGAUUAAUUUACCUGAACAAAAAAUUGAACUGUCAAUGAUGGAAAUACAUUUAUAAGUAAUUAUGUAACUGCAUGUGAUGUUGUAU